rnacentral:rRNA from 1 species
GACGAACGCUGGCGGCGCGCUUAACACAUGCAAGUCGAGCGAGAACCCAGGCUUCGGCCUGGGGGAAAGCGGCGAACGGGUGAGUAUCACGUGGGUAAUCUGCCCCCGGCAUCGGGAUAGCCCGGGGAAACCCGGAUUAAUACCGAAUGGCCCAUUCGCUCUUCGGAGCGGCUGGAAAAGGUAGCUUCGGCCUCCGGCCGAGGAGGAGCCCGCGGCGGAGUAGCUUGUUGGUGGGGUAACGGCUCACCAAGGCGACGACCCGUAGCUAGUCUGAGAGGACGAUCCGCCACACGGGGACCGAGACACAGCCCAGACGCCGACGGGAGGCAGCAGUGGGGAAUCUUGCGCAAUGGGCGAAAGCCUGACGGAGCGACGCCGCGUGCGGGAAGAAGGCCUUCGGGUUGUAAACCGCUUUCAGGAGGGACGAAGCCACUCAGGUUAAUAGCCGAGAGGGUGACGGUACCUUCAGAAGAAGCCCCGGCUAACUACGUGCCAGCCGCCGCGGUAAAAC